UUGAGAUUUAGGCUCUCUAUGGCUGUUUUGAAGAAUGGCUAGGUUGUCACCCAGUUGGGCCAAAGAUUGCACCCGAGUUACGUAACCUGCAUCUUGGAAAUCACUGCUUUAGCGUCAAUGCCAUCAGAACUAUGAUGCCAUGUUAAGUAGUGCUCUUUGGCGUUCUUCGUGCUCAUUUUGGUGCUUGCCUUCUUCGGCUCAUAUAUGUGAGGAUUCCUGCACUAGCACUGAACAUGUUGUACAAAAGCAAAAUUUAAGGUUGUUGUAAGUAUGUUCUGUAGCACUGAAACUUCCAUGCUUCUGAAAUUUUGCUGUCGCAUGACCUUUUCCUGAGGUGGCUUGCAAGGGUGCCGGUGCUUUAUGUAGGUGUGGCUCCUGGAAUGGCGAAGGUAUGGCUUAAGCAUCCUUGAAGUCCACGGUGAGCAUAACCAGUUUGGAUUGAGAUCCCGGAUAUUUGUGAUUUGAGUAUGUGCAGCACUGAAAGUUGUGGAAGGCUAAGCAAGAAAGAAGCAGAAUGAUGCAGAAUUCCUCCUCAAGCAUUAGAUCUCCAUGCCAAGCUCCCUUUGCUCUGAUAUGGCGUCUAGGCACAACAUGUUUGCUGAAAUGCCUAAUAAAAGAGUACAGGUCGGAGCCAGUGAUAGCGGGGUCUUUCUGCUUGGAGAGACCAGCCAAUUAUUUAAUAUUUUUUUCUUGUGGGAAGAUUCAGGGUGUGUAAACUUC
rnacentral:lncRNA from 1 species